rnacentral:rRNA from 1 species
CACGGGGGGAGCAAGCGUUGUUCGGAAUCACUGGGCGUAAAGGGCGUGUAGGCGGUCAGGUAAGUGAGAUGUGAAACGCCCCGGCUUACCCGGGGACCUGCAUCUCAAACUGCCUGGCUUGAGUACGGGAGAGGAUGAGGGAAUUCCUGGUGUAGCGGUGAAAUGCGUAGAUAUCAGGAGGAACACCGGUGGCGAAAGCGCUCAUCUGGCCCGAUACUGACGCUGAGGCGCGAAAGCUAGGGGAGCAAACGGG